rnacentral:tRNA from 1 species
GUUAAUGUAGCUUAAUAUCAAAGCA